UGGGAAACUGGGUCUAAUACCGGAUAGGACCAUGCUUUAGUGUGUGUGGUGGAAAGUUUUUUCGGUGUAGGAUGAGCCCGCGGCCUAUCAGCUUGUUGGUGGGGUAAUGGCCUACCAAGGCGGCGACGGGUAGCCGGACUGAGAGGUUGGUCGGCCACAUUGGGACUGAGAUACGGCCCAG
rnacentral:rRNA from 1 species